ensembl:lncRNA
GUAGAUAUUUAACUUUGCCUGGAAGUAGAUGUUAUAAAAAAAAAAAGAGGGGGCAUUUAACAAAUGGGACCUAAGAGUGGGGACACUUCCCUGGAAAAGUGGCAGGCAGAGGUUACAAUAUCAGGGGAGUGGUGAGUCAUUAGCCUUCAGAGGAAGUGAGUCAAGAUUCAUACAUCUGGAAUGCACAAAGCAAGGGGAAAUCAGCAGGGACUGGUCAUCCGGAAGCUGUGAUGGAGAGAAUCCAUGGUCCCAUGGAUUCAGCGGGAGGCAGUUACAGUCACUCACAGCAGAGUCUGGGGAAACGGAAAGGAUGUAGAAGCCAAGAGCAUCGCUUUGGACAGGAGAGACAAGAAUUCUCCUCAUCUCCUAGUCCCGCCUAUCUUCCUACUUCUAUUGGCCAAACAGUGUUUUAUUCAUCAACCAAUAAGAGAAACAUAUAUACAGAAGGACAUCCCCCAUCACAGAACCAUGAAGAAGGGGAAGCCAGAAGGAAAGGCUACCAGAACCACAACCUUGCACCACAACCUCACAUAGAAAAUGUUUUUGCAAUGACAUCUGCCGGACUGCCUAUUCCACCUUGAACAGCUGCUGCCCUUGCAAUUGAUUUAAGGGUCAAGGGUUACCAUUUCAAAACAUGUAGUCCUUGUCAUCUUACCCAUAAAUAAUCCACCUUGUUCUUAACCUCUUUGAAUAGGAGUAAGGUUCACUAUGGAACCUACAUUGCCACUGUAAUGUCCAUUCCUGAAAAAAAAUUAAACCUAUUACUUUUGUUUACCUUUUUUUUUUCUUUUUUUUUUUUUUAACAGGGUUUCUCUGUAGCUUUGGAGCCUGUCCUGGAACUCAUAUUCAUGUAGACCAGGCUGGCCUUGAACUCACAGAGAUUCACCUGCCUCUGCCUCCGGAGUGCUGGAAUUAAAGCAGCUCUUGAGCAACAGCCAUCUGCUGAGGAAAGGGCAUUUGCUGGUCCUGUUGCCUUUCACCUUUGGAGUUCCUGACUCCUGCUCCACCCACCAGGAAGCCACUAUUUACCCCAGAGAAUAAGCAAAGUACCCACAGAGCUGCUGUAAGGCAAGAUCUCACCUCAAGACUUCAGAUUAUCCGGGCAUGCCUUUAAUCCCAGCUCUCAGGAGUCAGAGGUAGGUGGAUCUCUGUGAGUUUGAGGCCAGCCUGGUCUCCAGAGUGAGUGCUAGGAUAGGCUCCAAAGCUACACAGAGAAACCCUGUCUUGAAAAACAAAACAAAACAAAACAAAAAACAAAAAAAAAGACUUCAGAUUAGCCAAUGCCACAUGAAGCAAAAAGGCCAGGAGGCCCCAAGACUGGGAUCAGAGAGUCACAGACACAGUGUGAGACCAGUGUGCUCCUAUCUAGAUGACUGGAGCAGCACCCUUCUCACCUUCCAGCCCACUCCAUCCUCUAUCUACCUUUGUUUUCCUUUCCAGUUCUUCCUACAUCCUGACUUACUGUGUGUGUGUGUGUGUGUGUGUGUGUGUGUGUGUUUUCCCCUUAGGGCAUUCUUACCGAAUCAUCUCAAGAUGGCCUAAACAACAGAAACCUAUUGGUGGAGGCUGGAAGUCUAAGAUGAAGGUACCUUCAGGGCUGUGUGCCCUCUAAAGAUUUUCAGAGAGCAGGCUUCCUAGAUCCUUCAGCUGUGGUUCAUCCAGGUAGUUGUGCCUUGACCUGUGACAUGGACUCUCCCAUCUCUGCCUCCAUCUUCCUGUGGCUUCCUUCUGUAUCUGUCUGUCCCUGUAUCUCAAAUCUCUCUCUCCUGUUUCUCCUAAGGACACAAAUCACUGGGUUUUAGAGCUACCUUAACCCCAGGAUGAUCUUGUGUAUAGAUCUUUAAUUAAAUCUGUAGAAGUUGUUUUCAAAUAAAAUCGCAUUCACAGGCAGAUGUCAGGACACAGACAUACUUUGUGGAGACAUAUUUCAAUGCUUUCUACUAUGAUAAUUAUUUGCUGUUCAUAUUGAUGUUAACCUGUGGCAUGUUAAGCAGGUCAUUUGAUUCCCCGUAAACAAGGCCUGGCACACAGGUGCUCAAUAAAUACUCCCAAAUGGAGAAUGAGACUGUGUACUUAGAAGCAUGUUUGGCUCAUGUCACUCAACAACCGAUUCCAUGAGCAGGCGCAAUGAUAGCAAUCCAGUACUAAUAAGGCAAGGAUGGGUAUCAGCUGUACCCCAGAAUGAAAUUGCUGUGUAUUUAUUGUCUUCAAACUGAAGCAUUCCCUCUUGGAAGGAGGAGGGAAGCUCAUAAGAAAUCGGGAAACUAACAAAACUUACAAGUCUCACUAAAGAGACAAGAAUCGCAAGUCCCAUCCCCAAGAUUUUACAUAUGUUGGGACAAUUGUUGAGAGAGGGGAAAAAUCUUCAGUGAGCACCUGUAGGUUGGACAGGGAACCCCAAAAUCACUCAUGCCAAAGUGGGCUUCCUGGUGCUGCCCAUGCUCCUGUAUGUGACUGUGAUAAACUCCUUGUGGUCUCUGACUGGUUCUGAGUUAAUUGCAUUGUAUCUUUGCUGUUAGUGUUCAGACAACUAUACUGGCCUGCCCUUGGGGGUCUGACAAGAUACUCCCUCAGCUGCAUCCACUAGAGGCAACACUUGAACACAUUCACUAUGUUCCCUUUAAAAGAGCCCUCUCUUUCUCUUUCUCUCUCUCUCUCUCUCUCUCUCUCUCUCUCUCUCUCUCUC